rnacentral:rRNA from 1 species
CGUGUAGCAAUACACGAGUGGCGCACGGGUGAGUAACACGUGGAUAUCUGCCUUUUGGUUCGGAAUAACCCUGGGAAACUAGGGCUAAUACCGAAUGGUUCCUACGGGAUAAAGAUUUAUCGCCAAAAGAUGAGUCCGCGUCCGAUUAGCUAGUUGGUGAGGUAAUGGCUCACCAAGGCGACGAUCGGUAGCUGGUCUGAGAGGACGAUCAGCCACACUGGGACUGAGACACGGCCCAGACUCCUACGGGAGGCAGCAGUGGGGAAUAUUGGACAAUGGGGGCAACCCUGAUCCAGCCAUGCCGCGUGAGUGAUGAAGGCCUUCGGGUUGUAAAGCUCUUUUGGCGGGGACGAUGAUGACGGUACCCGCAGAAUAAGCCCCGGCUAACUUCGUGCCAGCAGCCGCGGUAAGACGAAGGGGGCUAGCGUUGUUCGGAAUUACUGGGCGUAAAGCGAGUGUAGGCGGUUAUCCAAGUCAGGUGUGAAAGCCUUGAGCUCAACUCAAGAAAUGCACUUGAUACUGGGUGACUAGAGGACCGGAGAGGAUAGUGGAAUUCCCAGUGUAGUGGUGAAAUACGUAGAGAUUGGGAAGAACACCAGUGGCGAAGGCGGCUAUCUGGACGGUUACUGACGCUAGAC